UCCAUGAAUAGUAGUUCCCAGGUGUGUGUGUUCUGGGUUGAAUAAACCCCAAAAUGUCUCUCAGCUUAACCUACCUCACAGAGUUGUUGUGAGGAUAAAAUGCAGAUGGGGGAAAGUGUGUAUGCCACUUUGAUCUCCUUGGAGGAAAGGUGGUAUAUAAAUACAAUAAUCAAUCAAUCAAGCUGAAAGUUUGGCGAUUCAGGAAGGUCAAAAGGAAGUAUUUCCUCAUGCAGUGUACGGCCGACUACGGAAUUUAUUAUCAUAUGAUGUAGUAAUGGCUGCCUAUGUGGCCAGCUUUAAAAGGGGAACUGGACAAAGGUACAGAGAAUAAGACUCUCAGUGGUUACUAGACAUGACGACUAUAUUGCCUCCUGUAUGAGAGACAGUAUGUCUCCUGACUACCAGCUCAUGGUGAUCACAAGUGAACGCUUGCACUCAUGCCCUCCUAGUGAGCUUCUCAUAGGCAUCUGAUGUGGGAUGUCAGCAUCCAAAAUGCGUAUGUAAAGGGCUAAUUGCAAGAGCUGUAGAACUCUAUGACAUCAUACACUCUGCGGCAGUUAUGGCAGUUGGUACAGUUAUGGCGGUUUAUUGAACUGUCUCAAUCGUUAGAGCAGCAGGUACGCUGUGUUGUGCUGCUUUCUGCUUCAGAAUUAGUGAGUGAGUCUGUAACAGUUUAAUCUAGGUAAGAUGUUUAAGUAUCGCUUACGUGCAUUGCGUAUAUUUAAUCUGCAACUGCUAUCUAAACUUUUAAAGAGAGUGUCUUCCAUAGUUUUUAUAGGAGUGGAAAAGAGAACUAAUUAAAGGGGCAAACAACCGAGGGCUGUCUAGCAAAUGGGAACCAGUGCCUAAUUCCCACAUCUGAGUGGCCAGUGUGAUAGCAUAACGCUGGACAAGAUAGCUCUUAGGUUUGAUCCAGCAGGGCUCUUCUUAUACUCUCUUGGUGUGCCCCAGCUAUCCUAUUCCCGGGUUAUACCUCCUUCUCCAUACCUUGUAGUAUUGCUCACCAUCACCCCCACAGCCCACUGAGGUCCUGCUAUUUAAUUUAAAAAACCAACAACAUGAUUACUAAUUAUACUACUAAGAUAAUCUGCAGUUAUUCCAGGAGUGGGGAAUCUCAGGCCCAAGGAGCAGUGCCCCCCCCCCCCCCGCGUCUCUAUUUACCCUUAUGACACCUGGGCCACACCCAGCGCUAUUUUUCUAGAAAAAGAGGUGCCGGAACUCACCAUGAAUGCCCCCUUGUGUUCUCUUAUAAUGACAAUGGCGCCCACCUGAGAGGCUCUGGAACUGGGUUAAGGUGCGUUCCGGCCGAAAAAAAGCCCUGGCCACACCCCUUUCCUUCAGGCCACACCUCUCACCAGCCCAACUUCCACGAGUGUUUUGACAUGGCUGGACUGUGACUUUGGAACUCUGAUAAUGCCUCUCAGUUGCCUGGAUGGAGAAGAGAGGGGUCUCUCUCUCUCUCUCUCUCUCUCUCUCUCUCUCUCUCUGUGUGUGUGUGUGUGUAGAAACGGACCUACUGUACGAAGCUGAAAUUGCCUUCCAUUGCUCCACCUGCUACUGGAACAUUCCCCAGAAGAGAGCCCAGGCCCUUGUCAGUCCUCACACCCCUGAAAACACGCACACACCGCAAUUCAAUUCCUAGAGGAGACCUUGGAGAAGAUGCUGGAAAUGUCUUGAAGUGCAAUUCUUGUUUCUAAAAAGGCUGUUAGGUUUUCAAUGUGUCCCCCCCCCGGCACCAGCCAAAGUCCUUCCCUGUCAAAGUAAGCGAGGUGAGAAAAUCCAGUUAUUUGUUCAAGCUGGAAGUAUUAAGUAAAUGUAUUUUCCAACACUGUCAAAGUUGCCCAUGAACUGCACACCUGCGAGGGACAUCUUUGCAGGCUCUUCCCUCUCUCAAAAGCUCUUCCUCGCCAGCAGCCCUGAACCACAGACUCAGAUGUUGUUAAAAAGCUUACAGUAUCAGCAGGGCCACGGCAGCCUCCAUUAGAAACAUGAUACUAAGAUGCUGAUUAAUACCAGGAGGGGGCUUUAAUCAGCCAGAGCCAUAUGCUAUUUAACUUAAGAUGAAAGUGCAAAUGAUAAUCAUUAUUUCAGAAAGGAUGUAUUUAAAAGGAGAGCAGAACAGCAAGUGGCAUCUUUUUAUCAUUAGAGUUCUUCAUGCAGGCGCUCACUCUUUUUUUUUUAAGCUUUAUAAGCUUUUAUGAACAUCUGGACCAUUUUCUUCAUUAUAUGGGCUUCCAAUGGCAUUAUGUUUGAUGUUGGGUGUGUGUGUGUUUUUCUUUUAGCAGAGCUAUGCUAAAUUUCUAAAUAAACAAUUAAUUCCUAUUAAUUAUAGUUUUCAAACUAGCAAAAUUAUCCUUCAUUAACUUAAUCACUUCUAUUUUAUCUGCAAAUUGUAUUCACUCUUUCAUAAUCCCCUACAUCUAAAGACUCCCCCCCCCCUCUACAUGCCAGGCUUCUUCUGAUGCCAUGCAUGCUGUUUGUAGCAAAAGGGUUUAUUUUUUUUUUAAAGCAGCCAUUUCUCAUUCUCUUGCAGAACAUUAGAUGUGAACCACAGCCUCCCACCCGCUCCCCAGUUUCAAAAGGCAGCCUAAUGCAAUCUCGGUUGUUUUUAACCAAGCAGUGCUCAAAGGAAUGCUCCCUCUGCCCCCAGCUCAAUGGUGAAAUUGGAUCUACAAAGAGUCAGGACUUGAUUGUCACUGAUGAAACUUCAGUGUUAUCAUGAGGUUUGUCUGGGGUGAGGAGAAAUGCCAGCCAGCAUGAAUAGGGAAGGCAAGUUGAAAGUAAUUCAUAAGCUCACAUUCUAUGGGAUUCUAAAUCAUUAUAAAUGCAGGGGUGAGAUUAAUAAACUCUCACUUUCAAAAUAACCGUUGCUUAGUGAGUUAGGGGCAUCCUCGAAGAAGGUCCAGAAAUGUGUUGUUAAAUUUCUUAUGCAUAUGAUUAUUAUAAUUUUAUUUUGAUAAUUUAUAUGCCACUUAAUUACAGUUGCCUCCAAGCAGUGUACUGGAGACUCAACUAAAAAUAAGUUAAAACUCUAAACUCAGAAUUCAAUUAAAAUGCAUGCUGGAGCAAAAUAGACUUUAGUAAGUACCAGAGGUCCUGUCUGACCUCAACUGAAAGGGAGUUUUCAUAAAAUUGGGCCCACAAUGCUGUGAAUGAAUGUGGAUAUGAGCCAUGUAUCCAAACCGUGGGGGAUCACUAACAGUGAUUCUGUCUAAGAGCAGGUCAUGGGGUAUCCUGAGGUAUCCUGGAUCCAAGUUGCUAAGGGCCUUGUAGAUCAGGGAUCAGCAAGGUUUAUCUUGCCUGGGCCGGCUUGGCCCUGUGGAGAUCCCUUCGCGGGCCAGAUUGUGGGUGCGCAUUAGCACACGUGCCUGCGAUUUUCAGCAUCUGCGCAGGCGCGAUUUCCGGCACCGCCGAAGUGAGUCCCUGCACCGCGCUGUGCCGGUUUAGUGCAGCACGUAAGUGGGUGACUCGGUUCAGGGCGGCUCAUGGGCCAGUCAAACGACCUCCGCGGGCUGCUUCCGGCCCAUGGGCCUUAGGUUGCUGACCCCUGUUGUAGAUUAGCACAAGAACAUUGAACCUGACCCAGUAGUGUAUAGCAGCCAGUGCGAGCUUUUGAGCAUCAGAGUUAUGUUCUGGCAAUAGUUCCAGCAACAGUUUAGCUGCAGUGUUCUGCAUCAGCCAGAGCAGGAUGCAUUGCAGUAGCUGAGUCUUAAGAUUAUGUGGUUUAGUGCAGGGAAUAGAAGGAAAAUGGUCAUCCACCAGUGUUAACAUCUACCACUGGCUGGUUAGUGGGAUUCUUGGAUCGUGCUCUCCACAUACCGAAGUACUUUUAUACUCUAAAGAAGGAGUGGGGACCCUAUGGCUCUUUGGAUGCUGUUGGACUACAACUCCUGUCAUUCCUGACCAUUGGCCAUGUUGGCUGGGGCUGAUAGGUGUUGGAGUCCAGCUAUAUCUGGAGGGCCACAGGCUCCCCAUCUCUGUUCCAAGGCAUACAGUUCACUCUCAGAAUAGGAGAGAUUUGUUGUCACAGAGUCCCAAUCCCCAGAGUCCCUGGGAAGAGGGAUUGCUUGCUAAACCACUUGGUUGACUGUAGCUCUGUGAGGGGAGUAAGGUUCUCCUAAAAACUCCCAUCACCCUUUACAAAUUAUAGUUCCCAUAAUUCUUUGGAGGAAGAUGUGGCUGUUUAAUGUGGUAUAGCAAUGCUUUAAAAGUAUGGGUGUGGUUGUGGCCCCUGAGCAGGGGUGCCAACUCCCAGGGACUGAGCCCUUUUGCCCCCCAAUAUUCUUUGGGAGGGGCUAGGGCCUCCCAAUGUUCAAAGGAGGUUGAGGAGGCCGAGGGCAGCUUCAGUAGCCAGUUCCUUCUCUUCCUCCUCCUGCCAUGUAGAGGAAGGAGCAGGGAAGCAGCCUCCUGCCGGAAGCAAGAGGAGGAGGAGCUGCCAGCCAUUGAAGCCAUGCUGCUGCUACAUUUAGCUCCACCCCUGGCUCCUCCCAACAUCCUGUCAUUGUGUGUGCGAUGUCAUCCCUUUUCCCUCAGAAGUUGGCAUCUCUGCCCCUGAGAUAGGUCCCACCCUACUAUAAGGUAGACCUACGUAGCUGCCUCAAACAGCUGAUUUUGGGUGUCUUGAAUUUGUUUUUUUAAAAACAACAACAACAACAACAGGGUAUACAUUCAAAAAUAAAUAAAUGGUAACUGUAAUAGUCAAGAUGUUGUGACAUUGUGCAGAAGCCCGCAAAACACCCUUUUGCAAAGCACAUUCCUGAAGCAUUGGCCAAAAAGUGACAGAUUCCUACACGGGCCACUCCCCCUGCUGCCCCACACCAUUCUCUGUUGAGAAUGUCUGGUGUUCCCCUUGGGAACCCUAGACCCGGUGCUCGUUAAGGUUGGCCCUAAACCACUGCUACAUCAGGAGCAGUGGCAAAUUAAUCCAUUAAUUAUCUUAACCAUUCAAAUGAGGUCCAUUUGCUAAUAACCUUUUAGCCGAAAAUGGUAUCUUCAUCUGACGGAGCUUAGACAUCAGAGGAGAAACCACAGUAAAUGCCUUUACUUGGACAGUUAAACUCUUCCAGAGCAAGCUCUGGAAGUGUAAAAGUUUCCUGCUUUCAAAAUCUCCAAAGAAGGCUGGUUUUUCUCCCCCUCCGCCUCCUUUUUUUUUGGGGGGGGGCUUCUCUGUUACAUUUUGAUGUUGCUUCCUGCGAAUAUCCUUGUCAGACGAUACUAACUCUCCACCUACUCUCCCUGUCAGGAGCAUUCACUGAGCUGACAUUCCAAAGACUCCCUUUUUGAAAGCUGAUCUUAUUCAAUGGUUAUAUUUUCCAGCAAAUAUUUGGAAACCUAUUAGACAAGUAAAGAAUCUACGGCUGCCCCCUUUCCUCCCCACCCUCUUAUUAUUUUUUUAAAGCAACAAUGUGAAGGAUGAUCAAAAAAUUAAAGUAACUAAUUAGGCUGGCAAAUGGAUUUCAGAGGAAUGAACUGAAGCGAGCUUGACAUGCACGGAAGACAUUCUCCUAGUGUAGACAGAAAAAAAGGAGAUGGGGGGAAUCAGCUAAGAAAACUAAGGAAAAAGUAUUGGUUUGAAAUACCAAGAAGGAGAAGGUUUUGGCUCUGCAUAAAUCCCAGAUCAAAGAGUUUGGGAAGGGAUGUUAAUUUCAAACAAGGUAUUUGCUAUUUGGGCUCUCAGAGAAGGGUCCAUAAGUAGAGAUCCCAAGUGCAAAUUGUUGGAAUCCCCAAUCAAAAGGACCAUGUCCCCCUUGGGUUAAAAAAUAAAAUAAAUUUGGUUUUAUAGUUUAUAGCAGAGUUAAAAAACAACAACAACUAGGAAGCUGGAGUUAUCCAGUCCCACUAUUAUCCAUUCUCAUUCACAUAUUAUGAGCAUUGCGUAAAAGGAGUAUGUAAAACACACUGAGGUCCCAUUGGUAAAGUGGCGGGGGGCCGGGUCUUAGCUUAUAGUUUCUUCAUAUUUACAAGGAUGGCUUCAGAUUCUAAGCCUACAUGGCUGGAGCAAGUUUCAUGGCUGCCUCAUGGAGGAAGGAGGGAAGGGGGAGAGAGAGGGAGGGAGGGAACGCAAGAGUUAGGGGCAGAACUUAGGGUUUUUGUGGAAAACCACAAAGUGUACUUUCCCUGACUUAUCUGUAAGUCUCACCCUGUGCUCUGCUGACUGGAGGCAUGAAAGGUGGCUUAUAUGCAACUGUAGCAAGUUGGCAGGUGAUGGAGAAAGACUCUUUUCUGCAUGAGAACCUGAAGAUGGCUUAUUUCUCUCUGGCUACCUUCCCCAGAACCCAAAUGAAAGCAAGUAUCUGUCAUCUUAUUUUUCCAGGAUUUGUAUUACUUCGGCGUGUUUCCCUGCACCCCCAGUUCUGGGGUCAGAAGAGAGAUAAUCUAAAAGAUGGGCUGUUUAAAGACAUAAAUGGCUUUCUGGACAGAAUGGAGGCAUCCUCUACAGUUUUAUUUUUAUCAAUUCACAGAACAGGUCUCACAUCUAAGUAUGAAAAGCAAAGAAGAAAUGAAACCAAUGUUCCUUUGCAUUGGACUGAAUGUCUUUCUUCCGUGACUCAGCAUCUGAAGUUUCCAAGAAGAGAUUCUUGAAAGUACAGCCUUUUCUUCUCUAGUAUCAUCUCCUUGCCAGGCGAGCAAUCCAUAAAGCUGUUACACACCUUCAUCUUAGCUCUUAUCCACCUCACAGUCCUUUGAACUCAGAAGGACUUGAUUUAGGUUAAACAUCAGGAAGAAUUUCCUAACCAUCAAAAUAAUUGGGCAAUUGAACAAAUUUGCCACGGGAAGAUGCACAGUCCCCCAUUAUUCUGAAGUUAUUAAACAGAGGUGAAACCUCCGUCGGUGAUGAUUUGCGAAGAGAAUGGACAAAGCUGCAAAAAUAAUAGCCCCCAAAAGCUUCAGGUUUGAAUCUCUAUUAGGCUGAUUGUGGAUAGCAAUUUACUGUUGAUCUCUCAGGGCUUGCUCCCCUUGGACUGCAAUGUGAUACUUUGCCAUGUCUUUAGUGGCAGAAGUGGGUGGUCAGCAUGCAUGCCAGGGUUCCCAGGCUGGGAGCAUCCCAGCCCCUGAGAUUUCAGGCCCCAAACCUGAGAUGUAGGGCGGGCCUUGGUGAUCUCAUGGGAGUGGAAUGUGGGGACAGAGAUUAAUUAGGAGAGGGGAGCGGAGGAGGGCAGACUCCACAGAGUGUCUAUGCUUUAAUUUGCAGCCAGCUCCAGGUGGGCUGAGGCCUGCAAGCUGCAUGCACAGUCUUUGUAAUGUUCCCCCCCCCCAAUUAAAGGUACUCUUUUCCACCUGGAGGUACAAGCCCUCCACCUGCCACUUGGAGGGGGCCAAGGAAACCUGGAGACUUCAGGUCAGACCUAGAGGUCUGGCAACUGUAGUGGAUGGUCUUGUCACCAUGGGAGGAAGAAUGAGCAGAACUAUAGGAAACAAAGGGUCCUUCAGGUUGAACUGAAUUUUGCACUCAACAAUCACAGUGGGACCUUGGAUGUGCCUUUUCAGUAAUUAAUAAAACAAUAAGAGAAAACAUUACAGACAUGUUUGGAUACUUUGGAAUGCUAUUUAAAUCAAGAUGGUGGACUGAACCUUCAUUUUCAAUUUAUCUAGCUAUCUAUCUAAUAUACAAUUGUUUUUAUAUUAAAAAACCUAAGAAAAUAAAAUAUUAUUUUAAUUACUGAUCUC